rnacentral:rRNA from 1 species
GACGAACGCUGGCGGCGUGCCUAAUACAUGCAAGUCGAACGCUUCUUUCCUCCCGAGUGCUUGCACUCAAUUGGAAAGAGGAGUGGCGGACGGGUGAGUAACACGCGGGUAACCUACCCAUCAGAGGGGGAUAACACUUGGAAUCAGGUGCUAAUACCGCAUAACAGUUUAUGCCGCAUGGCAUAAGAGUGAAAGGCGCUUUCGGGUGUCGCUGAUGGAUGGACCCGCGGUGCAUUAGCUAGUUGGUGAGGUAACGGCUCACCAAGGCCACGAUGCAUAGCCGACCUGAGAGGGUGAUCGGCCACACUGGGACUGAGACACGGCCCAGACUCCUACGGGAGGCAGCAGUAGGGAAUCUUCGGCAAUGGACGAAAGUCUGACCGAGCAACGCCGCGUGAGUGAAGAAGGUUUUCGGAUCGUAAAACUCUGUUGUUAGAGAAGAACAAGGACGUUAGUAACUGAACGUCCCCUGACGGUAUCUAACCAGAAAGCCACGGCUAACUACGUG